UCUGGCUACAGGUGUGUUUAGUGGACUGGUUUGUGUUGGCUCUGGCUACAGGUGUGUUUAGUGGACUGGUUUGUGUUGGCUCUGGCUACAGGUGUGUUUAGUGGACUGGUUUGUGUUGGCUCUGGCUACAGGUGUGUUUAGUGGACUGGUUUGUGUUGGCUCUGGCUACAGGUGUGUUUAGUGGACUGGUUUGUGUUGGCUCUGGCUACAGGUGUGUUUAGUGGACUGGUUUGUGUUGGCUCUGGCUACAGGUGUGUUUAGUGGACUGGUUUGUGUUGGCUCUGGCUACAGGUGUGUUUAGUGGACUGGUUUGUGUUGGCUCUGGCUACAGGUGUGUUUAGUGGACUGGUUUGUGUUGGCUCUGGCUACAGGUGUGUUUAGUGGACUGGUUUGUGUUGGCUCUGGCUACAGGUGUGUUUAGUGGACUGGUUUGUGUUGGCUCUGGCUACAGGUGUGUUUAGUGGACUGGUUUGUGUUGGCUCUGGCUACAGGUGUGUUUAGUGGACUGGUUUGUGUUGGCUCUGGCUACAGGUGUGUUUAGUGGACUGGUUUGUGUUGGCUCUGGCUACAGGUGUGUUUAGUGGACUGGUUUGUGUUGGCUCUGGCUACAGGUGUGUUUAGUGGACUGGUUUGUGUUGGCUCUGGCUACAGGUGUGUUUAGUGGACUGGUUUGUGUUGGCUCUGGCUACAGGUGUGUUUAGUGGACUGGUUUGUGUUGGCUCUGGCUACAGGUGUGUUUAGUGGACUGGUUUGUGUUGGCUCUGGCUACAGGUGUGUUUAGUGGACUGGUUUGUGUUGGCUCUGGCUACAGGUGUGUUUAGUGGACUGGUUUGUGUUGGCUCUGGCUACAGGUGUGUUUAGUGGACUGGUUUGUGUUGGCUCUGGCUACAGGUGUGUUUAGUGGACUGGUUUGUGUUGGCUCUGGCUACAGGUGUGUUUAGUGGACUGGUUUGUGUUGGCUCUGGCUACAGGUGUGUUUAGUGGACUGGUUUGUGUUGGCUCUGGCUACAGGUGUGUUUAGUGGACUGGUUUGUGUUGGCUCUGGCUACAGGUGUGUUUAGUGGACUGGUUUGUGUUGGCUCUGGCUA